rnacentral:tmRNA from 1 species
AAUUAACAACACUGACUAAGCAUGUAGAGUCAUAGUUCUAGCUAUUUUAGGACAGGGGUUCAAUUCCCCUCACUUCCACCA